rnacentral:lncRNA from 1 species
AAACAGCGAGCCGCAGCUGGCGGCCCGGGGGAGGGGGGGGGGAGGGCGCGGCCCGUGGGGCGCCCGCUCGGUGGCAGCGCCCGGCAGAGGUGGUACUUGGAGGGACCAAGGGCUCGGUAAACACUGCUGCUUCGGAGCCUCGGCCCAGACGGUGGAGGUCCUGCCCCGUUCCCGGGGCGCUGCUGCCCAGCAACUCCCCAAGGCCUGAGGAACUCUCUCAUCCCGGUUUGCAAGACUUCUAGGUGUCUCCAAGCUCAUUACGGACUUCCCAGGCCGCCCUCGGCCUCACCUACCCCAGCACAUUAGAAUAUGAAUCACACGCUAAAGGCGGCCUUUGGUUCCCUCACUUCCCAGCCUUACUCACAUCCUCCUCCUCAGCCUGGAAUGUCUGCACUCCGGAUGGAGAAACUGGUAACACGAGGAUUUGAACCCACAUCUAUCUGGCUACCCUGACUACAGUUUUUCCAUUCUGCUGAAAGCUGCGGAGAAAGUGAGAGAGACCUGACCGUUUCCUGACGGAAUUCUUCAUGUCAAAUGGAAGAGCAGAAACCCCUUCACUUCAGUGAGCUGGACCAUGUUCGGCCCUUCGGCUCUAAGUCUCAAAUUACUCAACGUUCACACUGUGGCAAAUUAAAAUCAAGUGAGGAA